GCUAAACGCGAAGAACCUUACCUACUCUUGACAUCCAGAGAACUUUCCAGAGAUGGAUUGGUGCCUUCGGGAACUCUGAGACAGGUGCUGCAUGGCUGUCGUCAGCUCGUGUUGUGAAAUGUUGGGUUAAGUCCCGCAACGAGCGCAACCCUUAUCCUUUGUUGCCAGCGGUUCGGCCGGGAACUACAAAGGAGACUGCCAGUGAUAAACUGGAGGAAGGUGGGGAUGACGUCAAGUCAUCAUGGCCCUUACGAGUAGGGCUACACACGUGCUACAAUGGCAUAUACAAAGAGAAGCGACCUCGCGAGAGCAAGCGGACCUCAUAAAGUAUGUCGUAGUCCGGAUUGGAGUCUGCAACUCGACUCCAUGAAGUCGGAAUCGCUAGUAAUCGUAGGUCAGAAUGCUACGGUGAAUACGUUCCCGGGUCUUGUACACACCG
rnacentral:rRNA from 1 species